UGGCAAUAAUUUAGUGUUGAAACCGUCAAGCGCACGUGCUCACGUGCACGUCAAGUUUAUCGUUUUUGCCCAUUUUUUGCCAUCAGAGCUGAUUUUGUUUUCCAUUUUCUAUUUUUUAGGUGUAAUUACAUUCAUAUUGGCGACAGUAAGUCGCUAUGGACCCGAGUGUGUCCAUAAAUCAAAUGAGAGAAAUUGAGAAUGAAUAUCCCAAUUUCUAUAACUCUGAUCUACCAGCUUUCGUGUGUUGCACUGGGCAAAAUUGCGAGAACAACCAGGAAAACUUAAAAAAAGUAUUUACAAGAAUCUGCUCGAAAUAUUUUUAUGUGAAGAAUGUGAACAUUUGUAAAGGGAUCCAUAACAGCAGAUGUCAGGCCAGAGUAACAUAUAGAAUGAAAGUCAAUGAUUUACCUCUAGAACCAGACCUGAAGCUCCAUGCGAGUUUCCUUCUUAAACAUGCACCAUUAAACGCUGUUAUUAUUCAAGAACAAAGAUUGUUACAAUUACCCAAAGAUGUGAUAGUCCCUUACGAAAUUUUUUGUAAGUGUCCAAUGAAGUUUUUUGAUCAGGCUGCAGAACCAUCACAAAUGCAGCCUUUAAUAAAACAGUUUCAAGAUUUACAGGCUUAAAGGGAAACUGCAGUAUUAUUACUCUUAAUAGCAUUAAGAAUAUUAAUUAAUAUUAGUUAACUACCUAAUUACUUUAUGUCAGGAAUUCAGAUGUAUUUUUUUUUUUUUUUGGUUGAAAUAAAGCUUUUGCUCCUGGC